rnacentral:rRNA from 1 species
UGGGGAAUAUUGCACAAUGGGCGCAAGCCUGAUGCAGCCAUGCCGCGUGUGUGAAGAAGGCCUUCGGGUUGUAAAGCACUUUCAGCGAGGAGGAAGGUGGUGAGCUUAAUACGCUCAUCAAUUGACGUUACUCGCAGAAGAAGCACCGGCUAACUCCGUGCCAGCAGCCGCGGUAAUACGGAGGGUGCAAGCGUUAAUCGGAAUUACUGGGCGUAAAGCGCACGCAGGCGGUUUGUUAAGUCAGAUGUGAAAAUCCCCGGGCUCAACCUGGGAACUGCAUUUGAAACUGGCAAGCUAGAGUCUCGUAGAGGGGGGUAGAAAUUCCAGGUGUAGCGGUGAAAUGCGUAGAGAUCUGGAGGAAUACCGGUGGCGAAGGCGGCCCCCUGGACGAAGACUGACGCUCAGGUGCGAAAAGCGUGGGGAGCAAAACAGGAUUAGAUACCCUGGUAGUCCACGCUGUAAAACGAUGUCGAUUUUGGAGGUUGUGCCCUUGAGGCGUGGCUUCCGGAGCUAACGCGUUAAAUCGACCGCCUGGGGAGUACGGCCGC